rnacentral:rRNA from 1 species
UACGUAGGUGGCAAGCGUUGUCCGGAAUUAUUGGGCGUAAAGCGCGCGCAGGCGGUCCUUUAAGUCUGAUGUGAAAGCCCACGGCUCAACCGUGGAGGGUCAUUGGAAACUGGGGGACUUGAGUACAGAAGAGAAGAGUGGAAUUCCACGUGUAGCGGUGAAAUGCGUAGAGAUGUGGAGGAGCACCAGUGGCGAAGGCGGCUUCCUGGCCUGUAACUGACGCUGAGACGCGAAAGCGUGGGGAGCGAACCGG